rnacentral:rRNA from 1 species
GUGUCAGCAGCCGCGGUAAUACGGAGGAUGCAAGCGUUAUCCGGAAUCAUUGGGCGUAAAGAGUCCGUAGGUGGCACUUCAAGUCUGCUUUCAAAGACCGAAGCUCAACUUCGGAAAGGGAGUGGAAACUGAAGAGCUAGAGUAUAGUAGGGGUAGAGGGAAUUCCUAGUGUAGCGGUGAAAUGCGUAGAGAUUAGGAAGAACACCAGUGGCGAAGGCGCUCUACUGGGCAUAUACUGACACUGAGGGACGAAAGCUAGGGGAGCGAAAGGGAUUAGAUACCCCUGUAGUCCUAGCGGUAAACGAUGGAUACUAGGCGUAGUGCUGUUAGAAGGACUGUGCCGAAGCUAACGCGUUAAGUCGACCGCCUGGGGAGUACGGCCGCAAGGUUGAAACUCAAAUGAAUUGACGGGG